rnacentral:other from 1 species
GCGCGGCUGCGCGGUGCGUCAGGAGACGUAUCCCCGGGGCCUUAUCGAUCCUGAAGGGAGCUGUCCCCGUCCUUGCCUGCGGGCUCGGACACACGGCGCCCACCUACGUUGUAGGUUUCCCGGGAUCGAAACUCCAACGGCCGUGGCGGCUGCGCA